rnacentral:rRNA from 1 species
CCUACGGGAGGCAGCAGUGAGGAAUAUUGGUCAAUGGUCGUAAGCCUGAACCAGCCAAGUAGCGUGCAGGAUGAAGGCCCUACGGGUCGUAAACUGCUUUUAUGCGGGGAUAAAAUCCUCCACGUGUGGAGUUUUGCAGGUACCGUAUGAAUAAGGACCGGCUAAUUCCGUGCCAGCAGCCGCGGUAAUACGGAAGGCCCGAGCGUUAUCCGGAUUUAUUGGGUUUAAAGGGUGCGUAGGCCGUAUGUUAAGUCAGCCGUGAAAUUCCGGGGGUCAACCCUGGCACUGCGGUGGGAACUGGCAGGCUUGAGUGGGCGGGACGUAUGCGGAAUGCGCGGUGUAGCGGUGAAAUGCUUAGAUAUCGCGAAGAACUCCGAUUGCGAAGGCAGCAUACGGGCGCGCUACUGACGCUGAGGCUCGAAGGCGUGGGGAGCGAACAGGAGUAGAUACCCGUGUAGUC